GCGCCCGUAGUUCAACGGACAGAAUGGAGGUUUGCGGAAUCUCUGAUACAGGUUCGAUUCCUGUCGGGCGCACUA
rnacentral:tRNA from 2 species